UUAAAAAAUCUAUUUUUAUUAUGGAUGUGAACUUUUCUUAUCUCCUUUUCUGAAACUUAUGGGGAGCUCUGGAUUGCACUGCCAACUCAUCGUGGGAACUUCUGGUAGGAGAGGAGCUUCUCAAGGAGUAAUCUUCUGUAAAUCUGCAAAAACAGCAAAUAGGUCGUGUAUUCAAUUGCCUCUCAGUGGGAAGUAAACGGAGUCAAGAGCGUUUUUCUUCGUUACUGUGAAUGUCUACUGUACUUUAUUUGUGAAAGUAAAGAUAAGGAAGCUGUAACAUAGUAUUUGGAGGAAAACGUAGAAUAAGACUGCUCCCUUUCACAGCAGCCCAAUCCCAAGCUGAAGGAGAAGCAUCUGGCACAAUAGAAAUUGUCACACCACAAGGCUGCAACUUCGACUGGUGAGACAAGGCUUCCCUUGGAUGUGCAGAUCACAGAGAAGAGACUGUUUAAAAGGACACUGCAGCUACAAGGCAGUGGCACAGCCAUGCUGUUGCAGGCGAUGAGGAGCCUCGAUCUGCGGGAACCAAAGGCAAAGAGAAACACACUCCCCUGGUGCUAAACUCAUUGUGUAUCUGGCCAGAGCAACCUUUGCUUAUUAUAUUUUGAGAGGAAAUCCCUUAAACACACUGCCCGCUCAAGUCCAAGGCCGGUUACACUAAUGGGGGUUCCCUAACUCAUGUCUCAUAAUGGGGAGGUGGUCAGAAAGGAGGGGUGCUG